UACGUAGGGGACGAGCGUUGUCCGGAUUUAUUGGGCGUAAAGAGCUCGUAGGCGGCUUGGCAAGUCGGGUGUGAAACCUCCAGGCUCAACCUGGAGACGCCACUCGAUACUGCUAUGGCUAGAGUCCGGUAGGGGACCACGGAAUUCCUGGUGUAGCGGUGAAAUGCGCAGAUAUCAGGAGGAACACCGGUGGCGAAGGCGGUGGUCUGGGCCGGCACUGACGCUGGGGAGCGAAAGCGUGGGUAGCAAACAGG
rnacentral:rRNA from 1 species